AGAGUUUGAUCCUGGCUCAGGAUGAACGCUAGCGGCAGGCUUAAUACAUGCAAGUCGAGGGGCAGCAGGUGUAGCAAUACAUGCUGGCGACCGGCAAACGGGUGCGGAACACGUACAGAACCUUCCUUUAAGUGGGGGAUAGCCCAGGGAAACUUGGAUUAAUACCCCGUAAUAUUAUGAGAUGGCAUCAUUUUAUAAUUAUAGCUCCGGCGCUUAAAGAUGGCUGUGCGGCUGAUUAGGUAGUUGGCGGGGUAAAGGCCCACCAAGCCUUCGAUCAGUAACUGGUGUGAGAGCACGACCAGUCACACGGGCACUGAGACACGGGCCCGACUCCUACGGGAGGCAGCAGUAAGGAAUAUUGGGCAAUGGACGCAAGUCUGACCCAGCCAUGCCGCGUGAAGGAUGACGGCCCUCUGGGUUGUAAACUUCUUUUAUCUGGGACGAAAAAGGGACUUUCUAGUUCAACUGACGGUACCAGAUGAAUAAGCACCGGCUAACUCCGUGCCAGCAGCCGCGGUAAUACGGAGGGUGCAAGCGUUAUCCGGAUUCACUGGGUUUAAAGGGUGCGUAGGCGGGCAUGUAAGUCAGUGGUGAAAUCUUCGAGCUUAACUCGGAAACUGCCGUUGAUACUAUGUGUCUUGAAUAUCGUUGAGGUUUGCGGAAUAUGUCAUGUAGCGGUGAAAUGCUUAGAUAUGACAUAGAACACCAAUUGCGAAGGCAGCAGGCUAAACGAACAUUGACGCUGAGGCACGAAAGCGUGGGGAUCAAACAGGAUUAGAUACCCUGGUAGUCCACGCCCUAAACUAUGAUUACUCGACAUACGCGAUACACUGUGUGUGUCUGAGCGAAAGCAUUAAGUAAUCCACCUGGGAAGUACGACCGCAAGG
rnacentral:rRNA from 1 species